rnacentral:rRNA from 1 species
UACGUAGGGCGCAAGCGUUGUCCGGAAUUAUUGGGCGUAAAGCGCGUGUAGGCGGGCUGGAAAGUUGGGGGUGAAAAAUCCCGAGGCUCAACCUCGGAAACUGCCUCCAAAACUUUUCCAGCCUGGACUCAAAAGCAGAGGCAAAGUGGAAAUUUGCGAGUGUAGAGGGUGAAAUUCGUAGAUAUUUCGCAGGGAAACACCCAGUGGGCGAAAGGGCGACUUUCCCUGGGCCCUGUUUCU